UACAGAGGUCCCAAGCGUUGUUCGGAUUCACUGGGCGUAAAGGGUGCGUAGGCGGUCGGGUAAGUCUGAUGUGAAAUCUCCGGGCUCAACCCGGAAAUGGCAUUGGAUACUAUUCGGCUCGAGGUCUGGAGGGGGGACUGGAAUACUUGGUGUAGCAGUGAAAUGCGUAGAGAUGUGGAGGAAUACCGAUGGCGAAGGCAGCCCCCUGGGCCAAUACUGACGCUCAUGCACGAAAGCGUGGGGAGCAAACAGG
rnacentral:rRNA from 1 species